rnacentral:ribozyme from 1 species
AGAGUGGUGGUGGUGAUAGUGAUCGGGAGUUCUACCAGCAGGUGGUAGUGGCUGCCACUGCUGGGAGGAUCUAAACCCACAAAAAUAAUUUCUAGUACGAAUCAAUCAAUGUUUUCUCUAAAAAAUCGUGUUCCACAAUCAAAGAAAAAAUCUUCCUGCAUUCCAUUUAUUAUUAGUACACAUGCACAUACACACAUACAUACACACACAC